rnacentral:sRNA from 2 species
UCAGGAGGACAAAAUAUUGGCCGCUCACAAGAGAGCCGCUGCCCUGUGGUCCAGGGGGUUAUUUGGCUGCCAUGAUUGGCUGGUGGUAACUUCCCGAGCUUGGGCGCCUGGCCAAUCACUGCCCGCCAAUCGAACGGCGGUUGAUUUGCCAGCGGAUUAGCCACUAAUCCAAAAUAGUACUAGUGUAUAAAGCUAACCAAGCUUGGGAUCUUUCCCAGUAGUACGUACAUGCACAUAAAACAUUUCACCUUGCUACAAGAGAGGGCGAAGAAGACCUCUGCACAACCGAACUUUGGUAGAUCUUGGGGGAAGCUUCCAACUUCCAAGGCUCCCUGAUGCUUCCCCAAGCUCUCGCUUCAGCUCGUAUUCUGUCUCGCCGACUGGCACCGUUGGGGCUCCUUACUGACUGCGGCAAGGCGUGAUGCUACCUUCCAAGUUCCAGCAGAGCGACUGAGAUCAGCGAACUCUGUAUAUGCUCGAAAACUCACUGGUCUUGCCCUUGGACGAACUGUUUGGGCACUUACAGCAGUGGAUUCCCCAUCCAGAUAAACAUAUCUACUUUUCCGUACGCACGUUUCAGGCGGAUAGAUUCUCAUAGCUUACUUAUGAUGAGCGCUGAGUCCUCCUAUCGGAUAUAACCAUCUUUUCGUCCACGCUUGGUAAUUAUGUUACACCGCCCUUCUUGGCGGGAGGAAUAUCAAUUCGUCAACUCUUCACGUCUCCUCAGUGAAAUUAGCCGGAACAGGAUAUGCAGGGUAUUUGGUAACUAGCUCUACUGCGUAGUGCGGGUAAUCUCAACAGAUCAACUCAGUGUGGGAGGUGGGGAAAGAGAGCUUGGUCAUUUUUUAAGUCAUUGUGCGGAGUGUGAUGGAAUGAAUUUCCAUUUACUGGCCUUUCUUUCAAAUCCCAAACCCAGUGUUCUUCAGAGGGGAAGAGCCCCCGCUUCGGGUGUCAUUUGUGCUCUGAAACUCCGCUCAUUCCUGUCGAAACUGGUACUAUAAAGUCGUGGUCUUGGUUUCCUUGCAAACCCCCAUAGGUACACUGUCAGUGCUUUGAACCUUGCUUGGCCAGUUGUUGUCAACUGCUGUGAUGCUGGGAUUUUACCAACUGUUGACGUAGGCGGAGAGGCACAGCCGCUAAAGAUAUGAUAUGUAACGCAUCCCGUUGAUGGAACUUUUUGUGAGCUAAUCCCGCAGAAGGCCACUCAAGAACUUUCGAAAAGCAAGUGCAAAAAGCGCUUCAUCAGUAAAAAUAUUUACAUAGUAAAUAUUCCUCCCUC